AGUAAACUCUUUUCAUCUUGUAUUAGUUGAUGAACUAAAAAGUGAUGGCCUAAAGGAGCUGGGAAAUGCUGCAUUCUGGUCGUUAUCAUCUUUUAAACAGGGGUUCGGAGUGGAACAGCUUCGAGAUAAUAAUCUCCAUACUUAUUGGCAAUCUGAUGGGCCUCAACCGCAUUCAAUUAAUAUUCAAUUCGUGAGAGAAUUUUUAGUAACAGAAAUUUGUUUAUACGUUGAUUAUAUUCAAGAUGAAAGCUACACUCCAAACGUGCUUUUAGUUAGUUCUGGCGCUUCUUUUCACGAAUUAACUGAGCAAAUCGUCUUUGAAGUCGUCGAGCCGAAAGGUUGGAUAGUAGCGAAGUUUAGCGAAAAUUCUGAAAAAACCACCAGAACGGGAAAGACACGCACGUUCGCCAAGUAAAAGUCUUCGGAUCGCUCGACUUUAGCAUCCGCACAGUCCCUUAUCAUACUACAACAUCUUUUGCGCAAUACGCAUAUCUUCGCUAGCUUUAUCC